CUUAAUCCAGCCUCUAGUGUCUGUCUCAUUGACAGCCGCUAGAGACGCUUCCGCGCUUCUCACUGAUUUUCACAGUGAGAAGACGCCAGCGAUCAAUGGAAAGCAUUGAGAAUGGACUGGCUGAAUGCGCGCGCGCGGCUCUUACCGCACAUGCGCAUUCAGCCGAUGACACCAGAAGAGGGAGGAGAGUCCCAGCGCCGAGAGUCCC